AGUGAACGCUGGCGGUAGGCCUAACACAUGCAAGUCGAACGGCAGCACAGUAAGAGCUUGCUCUUACGGGUGGCGAGUGGCGGACGGGUGAGGAAUACAUCGGAAUCUACUUUUUCGUGGGGGAUAACGUAGGGAAACUUACGCUAAUACCGCAUACGACCUACGGGUGAAAGCAGGGGAUCUUCGGACCUUGUGCGAUUGAAUGAGCCGAUGUCGGAUUAGCUAGUUGGCGGGGUAAAGGCCCACCAAGGCGACGAUCCGUAGCUGGUCUGAGAGGAUGAUCAGCCACACUGGAACGGAGACACGGUCCAGAGUCCUACGGGAGGCAGCAGUGGGGAAUAUUGGACAAUGGGCGCAAGCCUGAUCCAGCCAUACCGCGUGGGUGAAGAAGGCCUUCGGGUUGUAAAGCCCUUUUGUUGGGAAAGAAAAGCAGCAGGUUAAUACCCCGCUGUUCUGACGGUACCCAGAGAAUAAGCACCGGCUAACUUCGUG
rnacentral:rRNA from 1 species